UGCGAGUGUUUGUGGAGUCUGUGCUCAG
rnacentral:piRNA from 1 species